CUGAACCCUAAGGCCUGCAUUUGUUUUAAAUUUGGCGUGCUGCCUUGACAAGCAAUGAGGCUAAUGCAGAGGGAAGUGAAUCUUUUCCCAGGAAUGAUUCAUCAACUUGGUUUUUUUGGGAUGAUACUAUGUACAUACAGUGGUGGGCCUACGUAUUGAAUAUUGGUCGAACCACCUUCUCCAAGGUUAGCUGGAUAGCGCAGUGGCGGAGACAGGAUUCUCACCAAGGGGUUCACCCUCUGCCAUAUAACAUUAAAAAUAUUUUAUGACCUUGUAUAUUGUGUAAUUUUAUUACUUAGGGGGUUUAAAUGAAUCCUUACAUCCCUCUAGCUCCAUCCUAGUGAUAGGGUUGGACAUGCUCCCAAACUUUCUAGUAUUGCACUUUCCUAUUUCUAUGUACUUCAUAUUCUCACCAUGUCCCAACUCUUUGAUGAUUACAUCAAUAUUCACUAUAAGGUGCAAAACUACAUCAAUAUAUUUAUAAGGAGACUGUUGAUGGACCUCUUCACAAUGUAUAUACAAGUUGAAGAUCAUAUUCCUUCCUCAAUUUGAAUCAAAGAUUUCAUUGUCCUGAUUACUUAACUCUUCUUCAAUGGACAUUCUUUCCUCCCUCUUAUGUAGAGUGUGUUUAGAAAUCACCUUAAAAUUAUCAACCUGCACAUCCUAGUAAUUACACAAUAUAAUAGUUAUAAUGAUAUGUAUGUUUGUUAUAAUGUAAUUACAGUGUAACUUUUAGCAUCAUGUAGUAAAAAACAAAAAUUAAAAUAGAAGUUAAUUAUUAAAAAUAAAAUAGAACCUUUUUUCAGAUGAAAAUGUAGAUUCCUUUUGGAGAAUAGAAAGCAAAAGUAAAUAAAUAAGAAAGGAUUGUAUAGUGUUGCUCAAGUCAAACAGAUGAGAACAUUUUAUAUUGUGUGGGGUUGCUUAAAAAUUGACAAGUUGAAAGUGAAAGAUCAAUUAUUGAUCAUUUGUUUUCAUCUUAUUCCCAUUCCUCUUGAUGCAUAUUCUUUACAACAUUACUUUUGCUUUGCUAACACUUGUACAAAUUCCUGUACUUCUUUAUUCUACUUGAUUACAUCUUCCACUUGGCGUUUUCAUUUGUGAUCUUUUUCAGCUCAGUGACUGGUAUGUUUGUUCUGAAUUUACAACUCUGAAUAUAUAUAAAUUGAUUGUUAUUUUCUCCGUCUGUCAGAACAACCUCUCUAUCCCACGAAAGUAGGGACUAGGGACUAUACUAUGUAUGUUGUUGUUAAUUGUUAUUUUCUCUGUCUAUCAAAACAAUCUCUCUAUAUCACGAAGGUAGGGACUAAACUAGCUAUGUUGUUGUUGAUUGUUAUUUUCUCUGUCCAUCGGAACAACCUCUCUAUCCCACGAAGGGCCAAUUUAAGCACAACAUAGAAUAAUCUCAUUCAAAUUAAAAAAUCAAUCUGUGGGAGGGAAGAAGAGGAAAUGGCUCAUGCUGCUGUCGUAUCUCUUCAACAAAAACUGCAGGAAAUGCUGAAAGGUGACAAUUCUCGUUACCCUGCAUUACGUCAAGCAGUCAGUUCCUGGCAUGCAUUUUUAGAGGACUCUUUGUCAAUUAAAAAUGCUCCAGAAGAAGUGGAACAUUUGGAAAAGCAGGUUAAAUGUAUGGCAACUGAACUUCUAGGUAGCAUCGACUUAUAUGAAUUGAAAAAGAGUAGAACUGGUUUCUAUCCAAAAAGUUGGGAAGAGUUCCAGAACGAGGUAGUGACUGAAGGUUCCGAUAGCAUAAAGGCAUAUUUGAUGAAGGUUAUGAAUGCUCGAACUGAAAAUGAUGCUCUACCAACACGGGAUACCCUGGAGAGUGAUUCAGAAUGCAGUCCCCAUCUCCAAGCUACUGUAUUAGACCUUGAUAAUGACUUAAUGACUGUCAAAAUCUCGACUUAUAGGGCCUCUUUCAAAGCUAGAUGUCGUCUCAAUUGUUGGCAUGGGAGGGAUUGGCAAAACGACUCUUGCUAGAAAAGUUUAUGAUGAUAUUUACAUGGAGCAUCACUUCUACGUUCGUGCUUGGAUUACUGUAUCUCAAAUGCAUCAACAUAGAGAAAUGUUGUUGGGCAUCUUGCGGUGUUUUUCACUGGUCAAUGACUACACUUACCUAAAAAGUACUGAGCAAUUGGCAGAACAAGUUUACAGAAGUUUGAAAGGAAGGAGAUAUCUCAUUGCAAUGGAUGAUGUGUGGGACACCACUGCAUGGGAUGUUGUGAAAAGAUCUUUUCCAGAUGAUAAAAAUGGAAGCCGUGUCAUACUUACUAGUCGGCUAGCAAAUGUUGGUAUCUACGCUAGCUCAGGCAGUCCUCCUCAUUACAUGCGGUGCCUAAGUGUGGACCGGAGCUUGAAGUUGUUCAACUUAAAGGUGUUUGGAAGGGAGAAUUGCCCCCUUGAACUGGAGAAAGCUACAAAGCAAAUUGUUGGGAAAUGUCAAGGACUACCACUAGCAAUAGUUGUGGUGGCUGGAUUUUGUUCCAAGAUCAGCAAGACGGAAAAUUGUUGGGAAGACGUGGCACAUAAAAUUGGUUUAAUUGUGAGUCAGGAAACAGAAGAAUGCAUGGACUUACUUGCCUUGAGUUAUAAACAUUUGCCACAUCACUUGAAGCCAUGCUUCCUGUAUAUGGGAGCUUUUCCAAAAGACUAUGAGAUUAGUGUUUCAAGACUAAUCAAGCUAUGGAUUGCAGCGGAAUUUCUAGAAUACACAUUUGAAAUGGACUUCGAAGAAGUUGCUGAGGGAUACCUUAAAGAUCUUAUAGAUAGAAGUCUUAUUAUGGUUAAGAAAAGGACCUCAAGUGGCAAAGUCAAAACAUGCGAGGUUCAUGAUCUGUUGCAUGAUUUAAUCAUACGAGAAGCAUGGAAGGAGAGAUCAAUCUACUUUACUAAAUCAAAUGUGGUUCUUUCUCCAUCCGUGGCAUCUUUUGAGCAUCGUAUCAUUUUCAAUUUUAACAGAGCUUCAUCGACACGUUUAGAGAUCAUUUUUAAUCCACCUUCACUUCCUCAUGCAAGUUCCUUUCUUUGUUUUGGAAGAGAUGGAACUCCUGGAUCCUGUUCUCAGGUUGAUUCGUUUAUCACCUUUACUAACUUCACAUGGUUAACAGUUUUGGAUAUAUCUUUUCAGCCAUUUGACCAUCUACCAUGUGAAAUAUGGCAACUGUUUUCACUGAGGUAUCUUGCCCUAGCCAGUUUUACUAUGCUCCCUCCAUCAAUAUGCAAUCUUAGGUAUCUUCAGACACUAAUUCGUUACAGUCACCAGGCUAGUAUUUGUUUGCCGGCAGAGAUAUGGGAGAUUGAACCAUUAAGGCAUCUCUAUUUCAGGAAAUGCUGCUACUUUAUUAAUGUUCAAUCUGAACAAAAAGAUUAUCAAGGCACGUCUAGUCGCUCUAAUCUUGGAUUAACCAGGUGGCCAGCCUUUUCUUAUCAUCCAAGUGAGUUUAGUCGCUCUAAUCUGGGAUUAACCAAGCUACAAACCCUCUCUUACAUUACCUUUGGUAGUAUCAAAAGGCGCAUCUUCAAAGGCAUGCCUAAACUGAAGAAGUUAGGAAUUCGUGAAAGUGAAGAAGAGCACUUGACUGCUAAAAAGAUGUCUGGGAAACUCAAGAAGCUGGUUCUGUUGGAAAAACUUGAAACACUCAAGUGCUUCUUUGUUAAACCAUGGAUACUUAAAGAAUGUGAUGUUUUCCCACCAACCCUCAAUAAGUUGACGUUGCGGGGGUGCCAACUUCCAUGGAACCAAAUGACAAUACUCUGUAUGUUACCGGAACUUGAGGUGCUUAAGCUGAAGGAUUAUGCUUUCCAAGGAUCAGAAUGGGAGUCAACUGACGAACGUUUUCAGCAGCUAAAGUUCCUACUGUUGGAUGGUACUGAUCUUAUCCACUGGAUAGUCAAUUCUAUUCAAUUCCCUAAGCUUGAGAGUCUUGUUCUGAAGAACUGUUAUUGCCUCUCUGAGAUUCCUGAUGAUGUAGCGGAAAUACCUACAUUGCAGUUCAUCGAAUUGUAUCACUGUAGCUCUUCUGCUGAUGUCUCUGCAAAUAGGAUUCAAGAAGAACAACACAGCAUGGGAAAUGACGAUCUUGUGGUGCGAAUCCACAAAUUUUAUAACUCUGAAACUUAAGGUCUGCGUUCAUUUCGCCUUAAGCGGGGGGUGCUUGUGCCUUAUCCCAAGUAAUAUUAACAAGUAGGCGGUUGUGCAUGGUUGGCUCAAUUCGAUUUUAUGUUUUACUGGUUCGAUUUAUAUCGAUUUUUUAUUUUUAAAUAUGCUAAAUCAAUAGGAUAUUUUUAUCGAUUUUU